rnacentral:lncRNA from 1 species
AGAAAUUGGAUAAUCUAGAAUUAAAAACCGGUAAUUUUAGUUUCUAAAAUAUAUUGAUUCUUUUUUUUUUAAGAAUUAAUAUAUUUGGUUUUUAGGAUAAUCUGAUUUUGAUCGGACGUUCACGGAUAGUUUGACUGUGUGACUGCAUUGAAUCUAAAUUUGAGUGAUGAUUUAUGCCAAUUAUGUUUAGUUGAUUAUUAAAAUUUAUUGUUGUGUAUUUUAGUUUCCUUCCCAAAAAAAUCCAUUGUGUUUAUGAAAUUUGAGGGAGUCUAGUUUCUUUCUUUUCUCCUUUAUUUCGGUUUCUUUCAUCAUGUUUGAGAAAAAUAUGUUUUCAAGUUUUAAGAAAGAGAAUGGGUAUUUGUCAAAAAAAUACAAUAAAAUACUCGUGUCCCUCAAUUGAAUUCUUAAAAUAAUUAAAAUUUGUUAUUUUUGUUGAACUAAUUAAUUAGCAAAGUUUGGUUAUACCUAGAGGGUGCAUUGCCGUAGCUGCCCCCAAGCGCCUAGCGCCCUUGGAUGCUAUCAAGCUAGCACCCAACGUUGGAAGGGUACGUAGUUGCCUAUAGUCCUGUUUGGGGCUAUCUAUGUUGAGUUAUUUUGUAAUGUUGACUCAUGUCUAAGUGGCUUAAUCAAAAGUUCGUGCAUUAACGAUAGGGAAUGGUGCAUAUUACGAAAGGAUAAGGUCUAGAUUAAUAAACUACAGAACAACUUUGAUCUUCUAUCGACCCUUGAUUUCCGCCAAUUAAAGACUAAAACUGUUUCAAGAUUUUAUGCAAAUCUACGACGUACUUGUUCUUCCAAUUCGUUGUCAAAUUCCUUUGUAAGAUAUAGCAUGACUCUUGAACAUUUUUUAUGUGAUAGUAUAUUUUAUGUUCAAUCUAGUUUCUAAAUGUAUUAUAUAAUGUUAUGAUUACAAAUAUAUUUUGUCCCCCAAUAGUCACUAAAAAUUAUUUCUCACCCUUUAUCUUUAUUUUGAGCAGAUAAGAAGCAUUAAUAAAGUUGUGAUCCCAUGACUGUUUGAUGUGGCAAGAUUUUCCAUCCUUUAUUUUGAUUAGUUUUUUUGUAGAAAAUAAUUCAAAGGAUGUACUUAUGUCUAGAAAAUAAUUCUAAGGAUGUACUUAUGUCGUCUAUUUGUUUUAUUGUCUAAAUACUGGUUACUCUAGUUUUAUUGGCUUUUAGCCAUUAGUUUUGUUGUAUGAUACUCCCUCCGUCCCAAAUUAUAAGGGAAAAUAAAAAAAUCACACUUAUUAAGAAAAAGUAAAACAUGAGAAUUUGAAGUAUGUUUGUGUGGGUUUUUCUUGGAAUAAGUUGCAUAGGAAGAUGUAAAAACAAUUUUUAUUGGUUGUUGUUUAUUGAGAAAAUGAGAGAGAGAAUAAAUUAAAUGCAAUUUGCAUUUAAUUUUAUGAAAAUAAAGAAAAAACAUUCUUGAAAAUGAUUUUUUCUCUUAUAAUUUGGGACAAAAAAAAUGGGUUUUUUUCCCUUAUAAUUUGGGACGGAGGGAGUACCACCUUUGAAAUAAAAUAUGUAUCUUUUAUGUUAUUUGUUCGGAAAAGUAUUGAAAAAUCCUUAAGAAAAAAAAAAAAAAAAAAAAANNNNNNNNNNNNNNNN